rnacentral:rRNA from 1 species
CGCAGAUACCAGGUGGCUGCAACUGUUUAUUAAAAACACAGCACUGUGCAAAAUCGUAAGAUGACGUAUACGGUGUGACGCCUGCCCGGUGCCGGAAGGUUAAUUGAUGGGGUUAGACUUCGGUCGAAGCUCUUGAUCGAAGCCCCGGUAAACGGCGGCCGUAACUAUAACGGUCCUAAGGUAGCGAAAUUCCUUGUCGGGUAAGUUCCGACCUGCACGAAUGGCGUAAUGAUGGCCACGCUGUCUCCACCCGAGACUCAGUGAAAUUGAAAUCGCUGUGAAGAUGCAGUGUACCCGCGGCUAGACGGAAAGACCCCGUGAACCUUUACUACAGCUUGGCACUGAACAUUGACCCUACAUGUGUAGGAUAGGUGGGAGGCUUUGAAGCACGUACGCCAGUAUGUGUGGAGCCGUCCUUGAAAUACCACCCUUGUAGUGUUGAUGUUCUAACGUUGACCCCUAAUCGGGGUUGCGGACAGUGCCUGGUGGGUAGUUUGACUGGGGCGGUCUCCUCCCAAAGAGUAACGGAGGAGCACGAAGGUGGGCUAAUCACGGUUGGACAUCGUGAGGUUAGUGCAAUGGCAUAAGCCCGCUUGACUGCGAGAAUGACAAUUCGAGCAGGUGCGAAAGCAGGUCAUAGUGAUCCGGUGGUUCUGAAUGGAAGGGCCAUCGCUCAACGGAUAAAAGGUACUCCGGGGAUAACAGGCUGAUACCGCCCAAGAGUUCAUAUCGACGGCGGUGUUUGGCACCUCGAUGUCGGCUCAUCACAUCCUGGGGCUGAAGUCGGUCCCAAGGGUAUGGCUGUUCGCCAUUUAAAGUGGUACGCGAGCUGGGUUUAGAACGUCGUGAGACAGUUCGGUCCCUAUCUGCCGUGGGCGUUGGAAGAUUGAAGGGGGCUGCUCCUAGUACGAGAGGACCGGAGUGGACGAACCUCUGGUGUUCGGGUUGUGUCGCCAGACGCAUUGCCCGGUAGCUAAGUUCGGAAUCGAUAACCGCUGAAAGCAUCUAAGCGGGAAGCGAGCCCUGAGAUGAGUCUUCCCUGAUACUUUAAGUAUCCUAAAGGGUUGUCGGAGACUACGACGUUGAUAGGUCAGGUGUGUAAGUGCUGUGAGGCAUUGAGCUAACUGAUACUAAUUGCCCGUGAGGCUUAACCAU